rnacentral:rRNA from 1 species
CCGGGUGACGCUUACGAGAAGCCUUUGUGGCCCCGCAAGGGGUACCCGCCGCGACUGAAAACAAUGCAAGCUGGUAUUAAAUCGCAAGUCAGCUCAGGCUGGCCACACUUUCGAAUUGCGGGAAAACCCUAAAGCCCAUCCUCUACCAACCGCUUGGAGAAAUCCAGUCGGGGCCUGUGUUAACCACACGGGGUAUGGUAAUAACGAGGUGGGAUGAGCCGGUUCCUGACCGGUGAAGUGGGCAAUCCGCAGCCAAGUCCCUAAGGCCUUCGCGGCACGGGAAAGGCUCACAGACUAAGUGGAAGUGGGCUGGUGCGCUCUGCGCUCCGGCUUAAGAUAUAGUCGGGCCGCCUGCGAGAGCGGGUGGGGAUGUCACUGACAUGAACUGUUCCGUAGGUGAACCUGCGGAAGGAUCAUUACCAAAACAUAGCUGUCUGGCCGCAAGGUCGUGACGCUUCAACCCUUUGUGAACCAAAAAACCUUUCGCUUCGGCAGCAGCCCGGUCGGGAACGACCUGGUUGUCAGCCUGCCGCUAGCACCAACCUUCAAAACUUGCAGUUAAACAAUGUCUGACAACCAAAUUUUCGAAUGAAAAUUAAAACUUUCAACAACGGAUCUCUUGGUUCCCGCAUCGAUGAAGAACGCAGCGAAACGCGAUAGUUAAUGUGAAUUGCAGAAUUCAGUGAAUCAUCGAGUCUUUGAACGCACAUUGCGCCCAUUGGUAUUCCAUUGGGCAUGUCUGUUUGAGCGUCAUUACAACCCUCGGUACCAACCGGUUUUGAGCAAGCCAGGGUCCCCGACCCGGCUGGCUUUAAAGUUGUAAGCUCUGCUGGCUGCCCGGCCUGACCAGAACAUAGUAAAACAUUGCUUGUUCACGGUUGAGGUCGAAGCGGUACGGCCUGAACAACACCUACCAAACUCUUAGGUUGACCUCAGAUCAGACAAG